AUUGCUAACAGCUGCUAACAGCAGAAUCGCUGUCACCGGACAGAACUGAGCUGCUCUGACUCAUCGACAGGUUUCGGACUCUUCGCAGAGUUUUCCGGCCUCCUCCAGAGGAAACAGCCUUGGACGCUUCAUGAGAAGUGCGACUCCCGAUGAAGUGGUCACUAAAGUGGGAGGGAGGAGGCGCAGGGAAUCCAGGUGGCCCGUGACGUCCGCCGGCAGCCUCGGCUCUUUUGUCUCUGCUGCUGCCGCUGAUGGAAGGGAUUUUAUCAAUAUGACAGGCGUGACGAUGGCAGAGCAGAGGUCUUCCACCUGAGCAGAUUUUGUCCAGAGUCGCUCCAUUACCUGAGUGAGCCUCCUUUGUCUUACAGCUCCAAGUGGAAAAUGAAAAUGAAAGCUGAAAUGGUCCAGGUCACCCAGGCAUCACAAACAUUGUUUUUAUGUGUGCAUCUGAGAGGCUGAGAAUGCUUUUAAUUUGAGCUUUUUAAAUCCAGCAAACAUCUGCUCUGUGGUUUCUUGAAUCUGAUCAGAUCAUAGAUAUGUUUCAUGAAGGUACAACCUUCAAAUCAUCAACCCACCAAACAUAUAUAUAUAUAUAUCUAUAUACACACACAGAGUUAGAGCCAGCCCACUUAGUGAACGGCGUGUUGGGAUGUAGUCAUGAACCAUA